AGUGAACGCUGGCGGUAUGCCUAACACAUGCAAGUCGAACGGCAGCACAGUAAGAGCUUGCUCUUACGGGUGGCGAGUGGCGGACGGGUGAGGAAUACAUCGGAAUCUACUUUUUCGUGGGGGAUAACGUAGGGAAACUUACGCUAAUACCGCAUACGUCCUACGGGUGAAAGCAGGGGAUCUUCGGACCUUGCGCGAUUGAAUGAGCCGAUGUCGGAUUAGCUAGUUGGCGGGGUAAAGGCCCACCACGGCGACGAUCCGUAGCUGGUCUGAGAGGAUGAUCCGCCACACUGGAACUGAGACACGGUCCAGACUCCUACGGGAGGAAGCAGUGGGGAAUAUUGGACAAUGGGCGCAAGCCUGAUCCAGCCAUACCGCGUGGGUGAAGAAGGCCUUCGGGUUGUAAAGCCCUUUUGUUGGGAAAGAAAAGCAGCAGGUUAAUACCCCGCGAUUCUGACGGUACCCAAAGAAUAAGCACCGGCUAACUUCGUG
rnacentral:rRNA from 1 species